GCAUCGAUGAAGAACGCAGCGAAAUGCGAUAAUUAAUGUGAAUUGCAGAAUUCAGUGAAUCAUCGAGUCUUUGAACGCACAUUGCGCCCCCUGGUAUUCCGGGGGGCAUGCCUGUCCGAGCGUCAUUGCUGCCCUCAAGCACGGCUUGUGUGUUGGGCUUCCGUCCCUGGUAACGGGGACGGGCCCAAAAGGCAGUGGCGGCACCAUGUCUGGUCCUCGAGCGUAUGGGGCUUUGUCACCCGCUCCCGUAGGUCCAGCUGGCAGCUAGCCUCGCAACCAAUCUUUUUAACCAGGUUGACCUCGGAUCAGGUAGGGAUACCCGCUCAACUUAAGCAUAUCAAUAAGCGGAGGA
rnacentral:rRNA from 1 species